AUUCAUUUCUGCAAAUGUUCAUAUCUGCAAUUUCAGUUUCCCUCCUGUUCUCCAUGGUUUAUCCGAGCUCAUUAUUUAUGGUACAGGAGAACUCAAACCAUCCAUCCUCUCUUCAGUCUACAUUGCUCUGAAAUCCAUGAAGCCAAGGAAAUUACGCUGAACAUUCGCAAGAUACCAACUCUAAUGGAGAAUGGAGACGAGGAAUUAGGAACGUGCCUAUAAUAUCACCAGCGAUAGAACUCGUAUUCGAAUCCGAUUGAAUGUGGAAGUUGUUCGGACAACGUGUUGAGCAGACGCAAUCGGUGGGCAGAGGACACAGUCACGGUCACCCAUUUGUCUACUCCACUUGAGAACCCAAAGUCCAGUUGAGAAGUUGAGAAGUGGAGAACAUAUUUGGCUAGUAAGGGAUGUGACCUAAAGAAUAUGUCUGUUGGAUUGUUGGGGCCCUCAUGAAGUCAAAAUCCUUCCCUUUGAGCAUAGUAUAUUGCCUUUGCCUCUCCUAUCUGCCACUCAAACUCCACCUUUGAAUUUUGGCAAAUAUAUAAACUAUGCCUCAAGAUAGCAACCAUCCCAUUUAUCUCAUACAUUGCUUGUAAUUCCUUAAUCAAAAUUU